AGUGAACGCUGGCGGUAGGCCUAACACAUGCAAGUCGAACGGCAGCACAGUAAGAGCUUGCUCUUACGGGUGGCGAGUGGCGGACGGGUGAGGAAUACAUCGGAAUCUACUUUUUCGUGGGGGAUAACGUAGGGAAACUUACGCUAAUACCGCAUACGACCUACGGGUGAAAGCAGGGGAUCUUCGGACCUUGCGCGAUUGAAUGAGCCGAUGUCGGAUUAACUAGUUGGCGGGGUAAAGGCCCACCAAGGCGACGAUCCGUAGCUGGUCUGAGAGGAUGAUCAGCCACACUGGAACUGAGACACGGUCCAGACUCCUACGGGAGGCAGUAGUGGGGAAUAUUGGACAAUGGGCGCAAGCCUGAUCCAGCCAUACUGCGUGGGUGAAGAAGGCCUUCGGGUUGUAAAGCCCUUUUGUUGGGAAAGAAAAGCAGCAGGUUAAUACCCCGCUGUUCUGACGGUACCCAAAGAAUAAGCACCGGCUAACUUCGUG
rnacentral:rRNA from 1 species